GAACCAAUCUGAGGUUGGGUGGUUAGGAGGGUGGUUGUACCCCCAGCCCACCAGAGUUCAAACCCCAGGUUUGACAUCUGUGUGUCUCAUAAAGGCGGAAUAUUCAUUCAGUGGGAGGCGACGUUCCCGUCGACAGCGAGGCGCCUGUGGUGACUUCGUCAAUUUCAAGAUCCAAUCCGCCGGCUCAGUCUUCCGGAGGUGCUCAUAGGGGUAGGGUGUGCGUGUGUGCGUUCAUAGGGGUGAGUGUAUGCGCGUGUAUGUGAGCGCCUGCGUUUGUACUGUG